CUAUUAACAUGCAAUUUACUCAGCGACGUAGGCGUCCGCUUAUUUUUUUAAUUUUAUGCUGCGCACUUUCGAUGUUUUGUUUGCAAAAUGUUUUUUCUAGACGCCAAAGGUCAGCAGGACUGACAGACCAAGUUGAAGAUGGUGCUAAAUGGCCUAAUCGAUUACCUCCUUUCAACAUUAGCCAGCACACACCAAGCAGUGCCCUAAUUGAAAGUCUUUACGACGGAGGGUUUUUACCCCCGCUUGCUCGACCUUGCGCCUCCAAUAUUGAGCUGUUAAUUGUAGUUUUUUCUGCACCUCAAAGCAAAAUAAAAAGACAGGCAAUCAGGGCUUCGUGGGCCUCACUGACGCACAAAAUACACCCCCAGGUGCGAGUUAUUUUUUUGAUUGGAGGCAAAAGCUUGGACAACCACAAACUAGACAUCAAGGAGGAAGACCUAAUUAUCGCUAAUUUCGUCGACUCUUACAAAAAUUUGACGAUUAAAAGUGUGGCAAUGCUUGAUUGGGUGUAAAAAAACUGCAAUCCAAAAUUUUUGUUGAAGUGCGAUGAAGACGUUUAUAUCAAUAUCCCACUGCUUUUGGAUAGACUGGAGCGUGUAGACCUUAAAACAGGACCGUUUGUUGCAGGUCGCAAAGAAAGAAACGUGCAACCAAUUCGUUCAAUUUCCCACAAAUACUACGUGCCGGUGGAGCAAUUCGGCGCGGAUGUUUUUCCUGAUUGGGCCAGCUUAUCUCCUAUGCGGAGAAAUGAUACGCGAUUUGCAUAAAAUUAUGCUGAAAGAGCAAUGGCUUUCGAUGGAAGACGUUUUGAUCACGGGAAUUGGAGCCCAUUGGAGAUUAAACGCCAAAAUGAUUCAGUGGAACGAGUUUCUUAACGAGAGGUUGGAGCCAAGUUUGUGCGCGGCAAAAACAUUUAUUGCCAUUCACGACGUUGAACCGCACGAACAAAUUUUGUUUGAAGAUUUGAGAAGUUCAAACUCUUUGUACUCCUACUUUUUAAUAUUUUGCUAGAUAAAUAAAUGACUUAAAUUUCACCAAUAAUUGGCAAUACGAUCUCAAAUUUUUUAAUUUAAUAGCUUUACUAUUGAAUUUAUUUUAAAAUUUAUAUUAAUUUUCCACAAAUUGACGUUUGCCGUUGAAUCUUAAAAAAUUUAAGCUCAAUGACCUGACAAAAACGAAGCAAUGAAAAUAUCACGCUAUACCAAAGCACGUCUCGCGUGAUGUACCAAGAUGUUUACUCAAAAAAUCACCUGACUUUUUUUAUUUUUCCCUUCGGCUUAACGCGAGAUUUUUUGUUAUUUGUUUACUAAAAUCCUCUAAUUGACACAACAUGACAUGUAUGCACUAAUUAAAAAAGCACAAACAAAUUCAUUGCAAGACAUAAGAGCCUUUUAUAGAAAUGGGCUUCUUUUUUAUAGGCUGUGAACAUGCGGACGCGUGCGCGAGUGAGUCGCUAAUAGGUGCUGAGAAAUAUUUAUGAGCUAAGUAAUAUUUUGAUCAUGACAUUUUAUUAUACCAGAAAAUGUUGUUUUUGAGGAACGCGUGGAUUUGCAAAAUAUUCAGUAAAACAAGUUUUUUUAUUGUUUAAAAAAUCCAGGGUUAAAGACUUCUGUCGCAAUGUUAGAUUUUCAAAUUAAUGUGAAUUAUUGGUGGAUAAAACCUGUUAAAACCAGUGCCUACUUGUUCCUGGCCGGUUAAAAUUUGGUAGCAUAAAACAUGAGAACUGACGGAAGCAAAUUAUUUAUUUGGAAUGAAAUAUUUUAAUCAUUUAGCUAAUGUGUUGAUUCUGAAAAAAUUUAAAAAUGAAAACUGACUAAAAAAAAAUGUUUUUUUUUAAUAAAGCAUUCAA